ACCUUAUUUCUAUGUUCCUUUUAUGUUUUUAUCACUUGUUUGAAAUAUGAUAAAUGAAUAAAAAACAAAUUUAAAGUUAUAAUAAAAUGAUUGUUGAUGUUGUAAUUUAUUUAAAAUGUAUAAUUUCAUCAAAACAAUAAAAUUUGAUAAAUUAAUGAAAAUGUAAUCAAGAAAGUGUAGUCAAUUUCUCGUUUUCCAUUACUGUGUUGUUAUAAGUUUUAAGAAUAGUUAUAGUAAGUAUUAAGUAAUACAAAUUAGUAAAUUCUUUUUCAGAAUAAAAAACACUAUUUUUUUACUUUCCCAACCAGAAUUUUAAUUUUAUAUUGUUGAAUCCUCUAAAUAAAAAUAAAUCCGAAUUUUAUCAUAAUCGGUUUUAAAAUAAUGUAAUAACAUACCUCUAAUUAAAAUGUUUCGUACCAAAUUAACUUGUAAGGAAGUGACUUACAGAAGAAGUGAAUCUAAUCAUCAGGAUCUAGACUUGCGGUAGCGUUUCAAGCAAAGUUCAAGUAUAACAAUUGGCGAUCAGAACUUUUUAUCCCCGCAUAACUCAGAAACUAUUUCUCAUAAACGUAUCAAAUUUGGCUCAUAUAUUGAAACUUGUGGGAUACAUAUGUGCUUCAAAUGCAUCUCAAACGGUUAUUUAGAUAUUAACGUCUGAAAAUCGUCAUUUUUAUCACUGACUCACCUAUAGAUCAAAACUCCAAUCCAGUUCCACAGUUCCAGAUGAUCUAGGAAGUUCAAAUUCAACUCGCAGAUAGAUAAUUAGGUGAAUACAAAGGAAUAAAUCAUUAACUGAUAUUGUAAACUAUGGAUAGACCAGGACCUUCUUCAGGUAGUAAGAGAAAUAGUUCCACAACAGAUUUACAGCAUUCAAAGAGACUUCGGAUAGGUAUAAAUGUGUCUAAUCCAAAUUAUACGCGAGUGAUUGAGAGCUGGAUCGCGGAUCUGAGGUUGACGACGUUAGUGAAGAUUUUUGACCCGAGCACAGUGAGCAUAAUACAGAUACUAGCACUGAUAUUUCUGAUACCGAAGAAACUCAACCUGAACACCUGGACGCGCCGUCAUCGUCAUCAGAUGAAGAUGUUCCGCUUUCAAGGCUGGGAUGUUUUAGAGGAAAGAAUAAAUAUAAGUGGUCUAAAUCACUUCCAAACAGAUCAUCUGUUAGAACUCCACAACAUAAUAUUAUUAACCGAGUACCUACCUCCAAUUUGACCGAAAAUGAUGGAAAGGAUCCUUAUUCUUUAUGGAAACAAUAUAUAAAUGGCGAAAUGUUAUCGGAGAUUAUGCUAAGAACCAAUGAGAAGCUGGCUGAAUACAGAUGUAAAUAUACAAAGCAGGAUCGCCCAGAACUAAAGGAUACUGAUAUGAUUGAGUUGCAAGCUUUUAUUGGCCUAUUGAUGUACACAGCUGUAUUCAAAUCUAACCACCAAGACGCAGAUUUAAUAUUUGCUACUGAUAGUACUGGAAGAGAAAUAUUAUCAGAUGAAGAAAAAAAGUUUUUAGUUCCUACGCAGGCUGUGAUUCGUUUGAACUGUUACAUGGCAGUAAUAAAAAUAUAAUGUGUGACAAUUGGUUCACGUCAAUACAACUAAUUGAUGCAUUGAAAUAGAGAGGCUUGACCUGUGUAGGUAUGGUAACAAAAGGGAAAUACCCUCAGAGUUCUUGCCCGCUAAAACGAGACCAGAAAAAUCAACUUAAUAUGGUUUUACAAAAGACACAACGUUAUUAUCUCAUGUUCCCAAGAAGGGAAAAGCAGUUAUUUUGGCUUCAUCAAUGCAUCAUACUGAAGAAACAGAUACGGACUCAGGGAAGCCAGAAAUUAUAAAGUUUUAUAAUUCUACGAAAGGUGGUAUAGAUGAAAUAGAUAAGAAAUGCUCUAUAUACACUUGCAGCCGCCGAUCAAGACUCUGGCCAAUUUUUUACCUAAUUUUAGAUAUAAGUUCCGUAAAUUCUCACAUUUUACAUGAUGUACAUGUCGGAAGACAAACUGAUAGAGGAGCCUUUAUAAAAAAAUUAGCACGAUAGUUGAUAUUAGAGCACAUAAAGCGAAAAUUUUGUAACCUAAGAUUGCCUCGUGAACUUAGGAUGAGUUUGGCAAGAGUACUUGGUUCUGAUAAGCCAGAGGCAUCUGAAGAUCAAGCAGAAGUCAAGACACGCAAGACUUGUUUUUCUUGUCAACCUAAACUCCAAAAGAAAAUCGACGUUUACGUGCUAUUCGUGCAAAAAACAUUUGUUUACAGUGCAUGAAACAAGUGUGCCCUAACUGCUUAGAAUUUAAGGUGUAGUUCGACUGUAGACAUUUUUUUCCAGAAUUUUUAUGUUCCUACUAUUUUUUUUCUUAAAGUUAUAUUAUGUAAGAAAUACUAUUUUUUGUUAUUCUGAGAGGAUUUGUUUUUGUGUUAUGAUUUUUUAUAUCUAAUUGUCGGAUUUUCCCUCAAAAUUCAAGCAAAAUAUUAUUGUAGUCCUUAAUUUAAAAAUAUAAUAAAGUUUAUUUUCUUUCUA